AACAAGGUUUCCGUAGGUGAACCUGCGGAAGGAUCAUUGUCGAGACCUGCAAAGCAAACCUGCGAACACGUUCUCAACACACUUGGGCUGGCGCCGUUGGAUGUCUUGGCAUCCCUCGUCGCGAUCCCUUCCCGACGCCGCACGCUUGCGUGAGUCGCUCGGGUUAACGAACAUCCCGGCGCGGCAUGCGCCAAGGAAAACUAUCACGAGAAUGCUUGUUCUCGUGGGGCAUCGUUCGCGGUGCGUCACGGGGCCGCAAGCGCCUCUUGAAUCAAUAAACGACUCUCGGCAACGGAUAUCUCGGCUCUCGCAUCGAUGAAGAACGUAGCGAAAUGCGAUACUUGGUGUGAAUUGCAGAAUCCCGUGAACCAUCGAGUCUUUGAACGCAAGUUGCGCCCGAAGCCAUUAGGCCGAGGGCACGUCUGCCUGGGCGUCACGCAUCGCGUCGUCCCCUCCCACUCCCUUUUCUUUGCGAAAGCGGUGGAUCUAAGGGGACGGACAUUGGCCUCCCGUUCUCUCUUUGUGCGGCCGGCCUAAAUUUGGUUCCGCGUCGACGGAUGUCACGACUAGUGGUGGUUGAAUCAAUCGCGUGCUGUCGUGCAAGAUCUCGUCCGACUGUGGACAUCGUAUUGCUAACCCAACAACGUCGCGUGCUCUCGACUGCGACCCCAGGUCAGGCGGGAUCACCCGCUGAGUUUAAGCAUAUCA
rnacentral:rRNA from 1 species